AUUCCUACUCUUUGAUGUUUACUGAGUCCUCUGGAAUCAGGCAGAAAAAUUCCCUCCCCUCCCUUUCUACCCUGUGGCCCUCCAGGCUCUAAAGAAAGCUUCCAGAACUCUCUUUCUCUCAUUCUCUUUCUCCUUCCCUCUUUCUCCCUCUCUCGUUCUCACACACACACACACACACUCCCUCCCUCCCUCCGGAGAAGGGUAAACUCGACCUCCCACCCUCCUGCCUCCACCUGAGAUCGGCAGCUUUAACGCAGCACCUGAAGGAAACCUCACUGUGGUUGAGAAGAAGGAGCUGUUAAGCCCCAGGAAACCGGAAGAGGGAGCACUGAUCUCAGCACAGAAGGAUGAUCGCACCUCAACAUCAAUAGGCCUGAGCAUCUCUGACUUUAGCACCGGAAAGACUACGGAAGUAUCAGCUUCCUCCCUGAAAAGCAGCUCGAAGGACUGGCUUCUCUAAGGGAAAGAUGUGUAGCCCUGUGUCCUGGGCCCUGGGUUCCCCUUACUGGAGUGAUGGAUAAAGCAGACAGAUGCACAGGCACAGCUGCCAGGCUCUGUGGUCACCCUGUUCACCCACCUCAUGCUGCAUCUCUCCUCCAACGGGGAGGGGUACCAACGGGAAAACACGCUUCUAGGUAAUCAAAUAUGAGACGCAAGCAACUUCCCCCCAGUCUCAUGAGACAGAUGGACACUUGGAAAGAGAGAGAGAAAACCACCAAAGUUUCAUGAUGUAGCAGGGCAAGCUGCCUCAGGCAAGCCGGCGCUCACCUCUUUCUCUAGAUUCAGACCCUCCCUGCCGUCCCUCCGGCUCGUCAUGCAUAAUGGGAUGAAGUAUUUUCCCACAGUAAACAAGCGUGUCAGCUUGAAGACAGUUUAAAGAAAGCUCCGACUUCAGGCCCCGCUUUGAACUUCAGAAGAGCUGCCACCAUCUCAGGGCGAUGUCGUUAGCCUUGGUUUGAUGACUGCUUCUGGCUCAACCUUUAGAGCUGUCACAACAACUUGAAAGGUAGUAACGAUCCACCAGACAGAAGCGUCCCACUGCACCGCACAUCUCAGGCCCUCCUUCCAGACCCACCUCCUACGUGGCUGCCUCGGGGUAUUUCAUAAUAAAACGCGCUUUUUUGACA